rnacentral:rRNA from 1 species
GACGAACGCUGGCGGCGUGCUUAACACAUGCAAGUCGAACGGAAAGGCCUCUUUCGGGGUGUACGCGAGUGGCGAACGGGUGAGUAACACGUGAGUAACCUGCCCUUGGCUUUGGGUUAACUUCCGGAAACUGGGGCAAAUACGCGAAAGAAGCUCCUGUUGCAUGGGGGGGGUUGGAAAGUUUCGGCGGUUGGGGCUGGCCUCGCGGCUUAUCAGCGUGUUGGUGGGGUAGUGGCUUACCAAGGCGUUUACGGGUAGCGGGUCUGAGAGGGUGACGAGCCACACUGGGACUGAGACACGGCACAGAGUCCUACGGGAGGCAGCAGUGGGGAAGGGUGGAAAAUGGGGGGAACACUGCUCCAGCGAUGCCGGGCGCGGGAAGAAGGCCUGCGGGUUGUAAACCGCUUUUGUUCGGGAAGACCGCUUCUGGGCUAAUAGCACGGGUGGAUGACGGUACCGGAUGAAUAAGCACCGGCUAACUACGUG